rnacentral:rRNA from 1 species
UACGUAGGGGGCAAGCGUUGUCCGGAAUCAUUGGGCGUAAAGAGCGUGUAGGCGGCCCGAUAAGUCCGCCGUGAAAGUCCAGGGCUCAACCCUGGGAUGCCGGUGGAUACUGUCGAGCUCGAGUCCGGAAGAGGCGAGUGGAAUUCCUGGUGUAGCGGUGAAAUGCGCAGAUAUCAGGAGGAACACCGGUGGCGAAGGCGGGUCUCUGGGCCGACACUGACGCUGAGGCGCGAAAGCCAGGGGAGCGAACGGG